UACGUAGGGGGCAAGCGUUAUCCGGAAUCAUUGGGCGUAAAGGGUGCGUAGGCGGCCCUAUAGGUCAGAGGUCAAAGGCUACGGCUCAACCGUAGUAAGCCUUUGAAACUGUAGGGCUUGAGUGCAGGAGAGGAGAGUGGAAUUCCUAGUGUAGCGGUGAAAUGCGUAGAUAUUAGGAGGAACACCAGUGGCGAAGGCGACUCUCUGGACUGCAACUGGCGCUGAGGCACGAAAGCGUGGGGAGCGAACA
rnacentral:rRNA from 1 species